rnacentral:rRNA from 1 species
UGUGACUACUGACGGUACCGGAAGAAGAAGCACCGGCUAACUACGUGCCAGCAGCCGCGGUAAUACGUAGGGUGCGAGCGUUAAUCGGAAUUACUGGGCGUAAUGCGUGCGCAGGCGGUUUUGUAAGUCAGAAGGGAAAUCCCCGGGCUUAACCUGGGAACUGCGUUUGUUAAUAGAAGGCUAGAAGGGC